GUGGGGAAUAUUGGACAAUGGGCGAAAGCCUGAUCCAGCCAUGCCGCGUGUGUGAAGAAGGUCUUCGGAUUGUAAAGCACUUUAAGUUGAGAGGAAGGGCAGUAAGUUAAUACCUUGCUGUUUUGACGUUACCAACAGAAUAAGCACCGGCUAACUUCGUGCCAGCAGCCGCGGUAAUACGAAGGGUGCAAGCGUUAAUCGGAAUUACUGGGCGUAAAGCGCGCGUAGGUGGUUCAGCAAGUUGAAGGUGAAAUCCCCGGGCUCAACCUGGGAACUGCCUCCAAAACUACUGAGCUAGAGUACGGUAGAGGGUAGUGGAAUUUCCUGUGUAGCGGUGAAAUGCGUAGAUAUAGGAAGGAACACCAGUGGCGAAGGCGACUACCUGGACUGAUACUGACACUGAGGUGCGAAAGCGUGGGGAGCAAACAGGAUUAGAAACCCGGGUAGUCC
rnacentral:rRNA from 1 species